GACGAACGCUGGCGGCGUGCUUAACACAUGCAAGUCGAACGGAAAGGCCCAGCUUGCUGGGUGCUCGAGUGGCGAACGGGUGAGUAACACGUGGGUGAUCUGCCUCUAACUUCGGGAUAAGCUUGGGAAACUGGGUCUAAUACCGGAUAGGACAAUCGUUUAGUGUCGGUUGUGGAAAGUUUUUUCGGUUAGGGAUGAGCCCGCGGCCUAUCAGCUUGUUGGUGGGGUAAUGGCCUACCAAGGCGUCGACGGGUAGCCGGCCUGAGAGGGUGGACGGCCACAUUGGGACUGAGAUACGGCCCAGACUCCUACGGGAGGCAGCAGUGGGGAAUAUUGCACAAUGGGCGCAAGCCUGAUGCAGCGACGCCGCGUGGGGGAUGACGGCCUUCGGGUUGUAAACCUCUUUCGACAGGGACGAAGCUUUGGUGACGGUACCUGCAUAAGAAGCACCGGCUAACUACGUG
rnacentral:rRNA from 1 species